GUCUGGGUGGCGCAGUGGCUAACGCAACUGCCUUAUAAGCAGGAGAUCCCGGGUUCAAAUCCCGGUCCAACACA